UCUCCUUAUUCUUUCUUCCAACCUCUUCUCCUCCACAAUUUUCCAGAUCUAUCGCUCAAUUCCCUAGUCUCUUCUCCUAUUCGUUCUCCAAACUCUUCUCUUCCCACAUCUCCCUAAACUCCCCAGAUCUACAGCUCUCCUCCUCCCACAUCUACCUCAACUCUCCAGAUCUAUAUCUCAAUUCUUAGUCUCUUCUCCUAUUCUUUCGCCAAACUCUUCUCUAUCUCAACUCUCCAGAGCUAUAUUUCCAUUCUUAGUCUCUUCUCCUGUUCUUUCUCCAAACUCUUCUCUUCCCACAUCUCCCUCAACUACCCAGAUCUACAGCUCAAUUGUUUGUCUCUUCUCCUGGUUCUUUUUCCAAUUCUUCUCUCCCACAAUUUUCCAGAUCUAUCACUCAAUAUCUAGAGUCUCUUCUUCUAUUCUUUCUUCAAACUCUUCUCUUCUCCUAUUAUUGACUUCAGACCUCAGCCUCAAUUCUUAUUAUCUUUUCAUAUUCACUCUCCAAAUUAUUUCUUGAGACCUUCACCUCAAUUCUUAGUUUCUUCUUCUAUUGUUUCUCCUAAUUAUUCUCUUCAGACCUCUACUUUGAUUCUUAGUCUCCACGUCUCUACCUCAAAUCUUAGAGUCUCUUCUUCACUCUCCAAACUCUUCUUUUUGGACCUCUACCUCAAUUCUUAGAGUCUUGUUCUAUUCUUUCUCCAAAUUAUUCUCUUUGACAUCUACCUCGACUCUUUAGAUCUAUAUCUCCAUUCUUAGAGUCUUUUCUCUUCUUCACUCUCCAAAUUAUUCUCUUCAGACCUCUAUUUCUAUUCUUAGAGUCUCUUCUUCAAUCUCCAAACUCUUCUCUUUGGACCUCUACUUCAGUUAUUAGAGCCUCAUCUCUUAUUUUUCCUCCAGAUUAUUAUCUUCAGACCUCUACCUCAACUCUUAGAUUCUCUUCUUCACUAUCUAAUAUAGUUUCUUUGGACCUCUGUCUUAGUUCUUAGAGUUUCUUCUCCUAUUUUUUCUUCAAAUUAUUAAUUUCCAACAUCUACCUCAACUCUCCAUAUCUAUACCUCUGUUCUUAGAACCUCUUUUCUUAUUCUUUCUCCAAAUUAUUCUCUUCAGACCUUUACUUCAAUUCUUAGAGUUCUCUUCUUCACUCUCCAAACUCUCUCUUUCAACCUCUACCUCAAUUCUUAGAGUUUCUUCUCCUAUUCGUUCUCCAAAUUAUUCUCUUCUGACAUCUACCUCAGCUUUCCAGAUCUAUAUCUUCCCCAUUCUCCACAUCUGUUCUCUUAGGCCCCUUCUACACAGCUGCAUAAAAUCCACAUUAUCUGCUUUAAACUGGAUUAUAUGACAGUGUAAAUAAACAUAAUCCAAGUCAAAUCAGACAAUGUGGAUUUUCUGCUUUGAUAACCUGGUUUAUUUGGCAGUGUACAAGGGGCCAUAAUGAUUCUCUAAAAUAUUCUCUUCGGGCAUCUGCCUCAACUCUCUAGAUAUAUACCUCAAUUCUCGAGGUCUCUUCUCCUACUUAUUCCCCAGAUUUUUGUCUUUAGACCUCUAUCUCUAUUCGUUGAGCAUCUUCUCUUAUUCAAUCUCCAAAUUAUUCCUCUUCAGACCUCUACUUCAAGUCUUAGGCUCCUUCCACACAGCUGGAUAAAAUUCACAUUGAACUGAAUUAUAUGGAAGUGUGGACUCAGAUAACCCAGUUCAAAGCAGAUAUUGUGGAUUAUCUAAAUUGAUAUUCUGGAUUAUAUGGCUGUGUGGAAGGGCCAUCUGAGUCUCUUCUCGUCUUCAUUCUGAAAAUGAUUCUCUUCAGACCACUAUCUCAGCUCUUCAGAUCUAUGUCUCCAUUCUCCACCUCUCAGGCCUCUUCUACACUGCCAUAUAAAAUCCAGAUUAUCUGCUUUGAACUGGAUUAUAUGGGAGCGUAGAGUCAUAUAAUCCAGUUCAAAAACAUAAUGUGGAUUAUCUGAUUUGAUAAUCUGGAUUAUAUGGCAGUGUAGAAGGGGCCUUAGUGAUUCUCCGAAAUAUUCUCUUCAGGCGUCUACCUCAACCAUCCAGAUAUAUACAGUAGAGUUUCACUUAUCCAACACUCACUUAUCCAACGUUCUGGAUUAUCCAAUGCAUUUUUGUAGUCAAUGUUAUCAAUACAUCAUGAUAUUUUGUUGCUAAAUUCGUAAAUACAGUAAUUACUACAUAGCAUUACUGCGUAUUGAAGUAUUUUUUCUGUCAAAUUUGUUGUAUAACAUGAUGUUUUGGUGCUUAAUUUGUAAACAUUUGAUGUUUAAUAGGCUUUUCUUUAAUCUCUCCUUAUUAUCCAACAUAUUUGCUUAUCCAACAUUCUGCCGGCCCGUUUAUGUUGGAUAAGUGAGACUCUACUGUACCUCAAUUGUCCAGGUCUUUUCUCUUAUUCAUU
rnacentral:lncRNA from 1 species